UUUGGCCUCUUCUACCUAGAUUUGCUUGGAGAUUCAUGUUGGUCUGGACAAGCCUGUUCCAGACUAAUUGUGACCUCUAUGCAAAUAAGUCUUCCCUUUUAAAUAAGUAAAAAAGAAGACUUCCUUUAUCAAGAUCUCCUUUAUCAAGACCUCCUUUAUCAAGACUUCCCACAUCAAGACCUCCC